GCUGGGCGCAGUGGUGCAUGCCUGUGAUCCCAGCGACUUGGGAGGCUGAGGCAGGAGGAUCUCGAGUUCAAAGCCAGCCUCAGAAACUUAGAAAGGCCCUAAGCAACUUAGCAAGACCCUGUCUCUA
rnacentral:sRNA from 1 species